AUGGGGAGCCCUGGGUAUCCAUCCUCCCGCACCCCAAACCCAACUGGGGGCACGGGCAGGGGCAGCAUGCGUGCAGGCACCCACCUCGGUGCUCAGCGCGUGGGCUGUGCCCCAUGUGACGCCCAGUUCCCCCCGGGGCCCCCUCUGGUGUGGAGCUGGGCUCCCCUGUGCGCUGCAGUGCCUGGCUCCGGCAUCUCACGCUGCCCUAGGGGUUUGUGCCACGGUGCACGGGGGUGGCAGCGGCAGGGACAUGCCCAGGGCAUGGCAUGCUCAGAGCCACCUCGGUGCGGUGACCCUCAUGGCCACCCCGCUGCGGGGACGUGUGUGGGGCACGGUGGGUGCCAGUGCCCUGGGGGUCCCCAUGCUGCCAGGCACAGCACAGGGGAGGGCACCACACACGUCCCCCGCUGUCCCCUGCUGCCAGGGCAGGGCCAGGGUGGUGGGGGGCUCAGCCGGAGCUGGCUGUGGGGCUCAGCUCCAUACGUGGCCUCGUGGGUGCCCGGGCUCAGCCGGCGGCACCGGCGCGGUGUGAUGAGCGGCCCGUGCUCAGCCGUAGGGCCGGGGUGGGGGUGCUCGGGGUCUCCGGGUGCAGAGAUGGGGCACAGCCGGGAGCCCCCACCCCACACCGGGGGCAUAUGGGGACAGCGGGAGGGCGGCGGAGGGACGGGAAAGCGCCGAGAGCGUGGCUCCGGGCCGGGAAGGGUUCGCGAGCAGAAGUGCUGUGUAAUCAGAAACAGUUGUGGAAGGGCGGAACGAAACCCCAUGGCGAGAACACGCCGGGAUAUGGGGCGCAGCUGGGGAUGGGGCGGCCCCAGCCACGGGCACCUCGCUGCCCCGGGGCCGCGUCCUGGGGGUCUCCGAGGCGGGGGGCAGUGGGUCGGGGGGCGGCUCCACCGGCUCCCCCAGCGCCGAGCGGGCGGGGAUGGGAGGAGCGUGCAGAAAAAGGGGUCCCGGGGUGGGGGUCCAUUCACGCGUCCUCUAUUUCCACCGCUCCCCGAAACCGGUCCUCCCCCAAGCCGGGGUCCCCCGAGCCCCUCCUCGCCGCUCCGAGCCCCGCGCACGGCCGGGUUCCGCAGAGCGCAGCGGGGUGGGGGGCGAGGAGGGGAGGAGGCGGGGACGGGACGGGGCGGGGGGGCCGCGGAGAGGGGAGCGGGCAGGGCCGGGGCUGAGCGCUGA
rnacentral:lncRNA from 1 species